AUUUAUUUAAUACAAUAAGUAUAUUUGACUUCCAAUCAAAAAAUUUGUGUAAAACAAAAUAAAUA
rnacentral:tRNA from 1 species